UAACGGCGAGUGAACCGGGAUGAGCUCAAAUUUGAAAUCUGGCGUCUUUCAGGCGUCCGAGUUGUAAUCUAUAGAGGCGUUUUCCGCGCCGGACCGCGUCCAAGUCUCUUGGAAUAGAGUAUCAAAGAGGGUGACAAUCCCGUACUUGACGCGACAACCGGUGCUCUGUGAUACGUUCUCAAUGAGUCGAGUUGUUUGGGAAUGCAGCUCUAAAUGGGUGGUAAAUUCCAUCUAAGGCUAAAUAUUGGCGAGAGACCGAUAGCGAACAAGUACCGUGAGGGAAAGAUGAAAAGCACUUUGGAAAGAGAGUUAAACAGCACGUGAAAUUGUUAAAAGGGAAACGAUUGAAGUCAGUCGUGUGGGAAGUAUUCAGCCGUCUCUGGCGGUGUAUUUGCUUCUCACGGGUCAACAUCAGUUUGAUCCGGUAGAAAAAGGCGGGAAGAAGGUGGCACCCUCGGGUGUGUUAUAGCUUCCUGUCAUAUGUGCCGGACCAGACUGAGGAACGCAGCUUGCAGCAAUGCCGGGGUUCGCCCACGUACAAGCUUAGGAUGUUGACAUAAUGGCUUUAAA
rnacentral:rRNA from 1 species